AGUCCUGUAGCUCAGUUGUUAGAGCGCUCACCUCAUAAGUGAGAGGACCUGGGUUCGAUUCCCAGGCAGAGUGA